rnacentral:rRNA from 1 species
GGAUUAGGCAUGCAAGUCGAACGAGGAUAUAUCCUUCGGGAUAUAAGCCGAGUGGCGCAAGGGUGAGUAAUGCAUAGAUUACCUACCUCUAGGAUAAGGACAACUUUGUGAAAACGAAGCUAAUACUUAAUAACACAAGAGAAAAUAAUUUUCUUUUGUCAAUGGGAGGGUAGCAAUACCUUUUGCCUAGAGAGGGGUUUAUGUCCUAUCAGCUUGUUGGUGGGGUAAUGGCCUACCAAGGCGAAGACGGGUAGCCGGUCUUAGAGGAUGGUCGGCCACACUGGGACUGAGACACUGCCCAGACUUCUACGGAAGGCUGCAGUCGAGAAUCUUUCGCAAUGCCCGAAAGGAA